GUCCCUGUAGGGCAAUGGAAAUCGCGUUGGACUUCUAAUCCAAAGGUCGUGGGCUCAAAUCCCAUCAGGGAUA